UACGGAGGGUGCAAACGUUGCUCGGAAUCAUUGGGCGUAAAGCGCACGUAGGCGGCUCGUUAAGUCGGGUGUGAAAGCCCUCGGCUCAACCGAGGAAGUGGCAUUCGAAACUGGCGAGCUUGAAUAUGGAAGAGGGUCGCGGAAUUCCCGGUGUAGAGGUGAAAUUCGUAGAUAUCGGGAGGAACACCAGUGGCGAAGGCGGCGACCUGGGCCAAUAUUGACGCUGAGGUGCGAAAGCGUGGGGGAGCAAACAGG
rnacentral:rRNA from 1 species